rnacentral:rRNA from 1 species
CUACAGGACGAACGCUGGCGGCGUGCUUAACACAUGCAAGUCGAACGGUGACGAGGAGCUUGCUCCUCUGAUCAGUGGCGAACGGGUGAGUAACACGUGAGCAACCUGCCCCAGACUCUGGGAUAACAGUUGGAAACAGCUGCUAAUACCGGAUACGAGACGGAGAGGCAUCUCUACCGUCUGGAAAGUUUUUCGGUCUGGGAUGGACUCGCGGCCUAUCAGCUAGUUGGUGAGGUAAUGGCUCACCAAGGCGACGACGGGUAGCCGGCCUGAGAGGGCGACCGGCCACACUGGGACUGAGACACGGCCCAGACUCCUACGGGAGGCAGCAGUGGGGAAUAUUGCACAAUGGGCGAAAGCCUGAUGCAGCGACGCCGCGUGAGGGAUGAAGGCCUUCGGGUUGUAAACCUCUUUCAGCAGGGAAGAAGCGAAAGUGACGGUACCUGCAGAAGAAGCACCGGCUAACUACGUG